rnacentral:rRNA from 1 species
GACGUAGGGCGCGAGCGUUGUCCGGAUUUAUUGGGCGUAAAGAGCUCGUAGGCGGCUUGUCGCGUCGUUCGUGAAAACCCACAGCUCAACUGUGGGCUUGCGGUCGAUACGGGCAGGCUAGAGUUCGGUAGGGGAGACUGGAAUUCCUGGUGUAGCGGUGAAAUGCGCAGAUAUCAGGAGGAACACCGGUGGCGAAGGCGGGUCUCUGGGCCGAUACUGACGCUCAUGCACGAAAGCGUGGGGAGCAAACAGG